rnacentral:rRNA from 1 species
UACGUAGGGGGCGAGCGUUGUCCGGAAUUAUUGGGCGUAAAGAGCGUGUAGGCUGUUCGGUAAGUCUGCCGUGAAAACCUGAGGCUCAACCUCGGGCGUGCGGUGGAUACUGCCGGGCUAGAGGACGGUAGAGGCGAGUGGAAUUCCCGGUGUAGCGGUGAAAUGCGUAGAUAUCGUAAGGAAGACCAGUGGCGAAGGCGGGUCUCUGGACAGUUCCUGACGCUGAGGCACGAAGGUCAGGGGAGCAAACGGG